rnacentral:rRNA from 1 species
AUUACUGGUCACACACGACUCUAAGCGAACGCAAACUCAGGAUGGAUUGUCCUCCAGUGGCUGGCUCGAAAUUCGGCCUGGCCUGCCAUCCGAAAAACUGUGACUGUGGGGUACCUAGCCUGUCCGGGAUGUCGGGCUCGGGGUUGACUGGGGAGAGCAGCAGCACCCAGGGUGGGGAGCGAGUGGGCUGGUUCGAGCUCCGAUGUUCCCCCCCACCGGGUCAGACCUGGUCGAUCCUGGGCUGUCGGCAGAUUCGGCAGGGGAAGCCGCUGGUUUGUUUUGUGUCGCUCCUUUUUUUCUCUGGCUCUAGUGAGGAGGCCUCGGAGACUCUCGUCUCCUGCGGGCAAGGGGAUGGACACUUUUGACAGCUGGCAAAGGUUUAAAGAGUCCCGCCUGUCCUCGUGUGCGGGUGCCGCCCCCCUGUGGUUAAAUUUUAUUACCAUUUCCUUACGCAUUUCUUUCUGGCUUUGCCAAACCUCUCGAAAGCCCGUUCAGCUGGCUGGCAUGCCUCUUGUCAGUGCAGCUGGUGUGGCUUCUCGAUGGUGACAAACGAACCAAAAAAGAAACAACUUUAGGCGGUGGAUCACUCGGCUCGUGCGUCGAUGAAGAACGCAGCCAGCUGCGUGAAUUAAUGUGAAUUGCAGGACACAUUGAACAUCGACACUUUGAACGCAUAUUGCGGCCAAGGGUCCGUCCUUUGGCCACGCCCGUCUGAGGGUCGGCGAAGUUCUACCCAUCGCCGGAGGCUCCAUCUGGCGCACUGAGCUGUCGUAGUCCUUCUCGCGAAGGACUCCGUGGCUUCAAAUGCAGACCCGGCCCUUGCUUUUUUUGGCCUUGGUGCCGACUUGCUUUCUGUCUUGCCCGUCUUUCUCCUCUCCGGUUGGGGGACUUGUCCUCACAGCGAGCGGAAGGACAUGGCUCGGAUACUCUGAACAUGCCUUCUUGCUUUUCGCGGCCCCCUCCAGCGUGUGUUGGAGAGAAGAGGGAAGGAGCAGCAAGCUUUUUCAUUUCCGACCUCAGAUCGGACGAGAUUACCCGCUGAAUUUAAGCAUAUCACUAA